rnacentral:rRNA from 1 species
GAUUAAUAAUAAUUGUAUGUUUAUAAAUAAAAAAAAUAUUUUUAUAUUUUAGUAUUAUUAUAGAACAAAUUAUUUUUAUGAUAGAGGAUUAGUAUAGUAAUAGAAAUUUCUAACUAUAAAAAUUAAAGAAAAAUUUAGUUUUUGUACCUUGUGUAUCAGGGUUUAUUAAUUUAAAUUUAUUGAGGUGAAAUUCUCGAUUUUAAAAGAGCGAAUUAUUUAUAAAUUUUAUUGUAAAAUAAAUAUUUAAAAUAAGUAAUUAGUAAUGAAACGUUAUUCGUUUUUAAAUAUAUCUAGUUUUUAAAGAAAAAAAUUAAAUUUUAUUUAUAUUUAGAUAUUAUUUUUAAAUUUUUUUAAAAAAAAAAUUAUUUGUAAAUUAAAUUAUAAGGGAUAAGCUUUAUAAUUGAGGAUUAAAAAUAAAUAUUUUUUUAUUUUAAAAUGUAGGAUUAGUAAUUUCUUUCAUGUAAUUUGUUAUAAUUAAUUAAAUUAAAAUAAAGAUUUUUAUAUAUUUUAAGUUUUUUAUUUAAAUAUUAAGUUUAAUAAUAUAACUUAAGCAAUAAUGAUAAAAUUAGUAUAAUAUUUUGUUUAAUUAUAUUAAAGAAUUAAGGUUAUUAUAAGGAAUUCGGCAAAUGUAUUUUUCGCCUGUUUAUUAAAAACAUGUCUUUUUGAAUAUAAUUUAAAGUCUAACCUGCCCACUGAUUUUUUGAAUGGCCGCAGUAUUUUGACUGUGCAAAGGUAGCAUAAUCAUUAGUUUUUUAAUUAAGAACUGGAAUGAAAGGUUGAACGAGAAAAUAACUGUCUCUUAAUAAAUUAUUUAGAAUUUUAUUUUUAAGUUAAAAAGCUUAAAUAAGAUUAAAAGACGAGAAGACCCUAUAGAGUUUAAUAUAAAUAUAAUUAAUUUUUUAAUUAGGGUUUUUUAAUUAUUAAUUAUUUUUAAUAUUUGAUUGGGGUGAUUGAAAAAUUUAAUAAACUUUUUUUUUAUUCAAACAUUUAUAUAUGGUUUAUUGAUCCAUUAAUAAUGAUUAUAAGAUUAAAUUACCUUAGGGAUAACAGCGUUAUUUCUUUUAAGAGUUCUAAUCGAUAAAGAAGUUUGCGACCUCGAUGUUGGAUUAAAAUUAAAUUUUGGUGUAGAAGCUAAAAGAUUAGGUCUGUUCGACCUUUAAAAUUUUACAUGAUCUGAGUUUAAACCGGUGUAAGCCAGGUUGGUUUCUAUCUUUAAUAUAACAUAAUAUUUUAGUACGAAAGGACCAAAUAUUUAUAAAAUUUAUUUAUUAUUGAAUAUUAUUAAUUA